GAUGAAGAACGCAGCGAAAUGCUAUACGUAAUGUGAAUUGCAGAAUUCAGUGAAUCAUCGAAUCUUUGAACGCAUAUUGCGCUCUCUGGUAUUCCGGAGAGCAUGCUUGUUUGAGUAUCAGUAAACACCUCAACUUCCAUAUCUUUUUUUGAAAUGGGAGUUGGACUUGAGUGAUCCCAACGCUUUUCCUCACCGAAAAGUGGCGGGUUACUUGAAAUGCAGGUGCAGCUGGACUUUUCUCUGAGCUAUAAGCAUAUCUAUUUAGUCUGCCUAAAAAACAGAUUAUUACCUUUGCUGCAGCUAACAUAAAGGAGAUUAGUUCUUGUGCUGACUGAUGCAGGAUUCACAAAGACAGCUUCGGCCGACUUUGUAAACUCGAUCUCAAAUCAAGUAAGACUACCCGCUGAACUUAAGCAUAUCAAUAAGCGGAGGA
rnacentral:misc_RNA from 1 species